rnacentral:lncRNA from 1 species
UUCAAGUUGACGACGAUGAGUUUGUGCACCUUCGAGUUUUCCAAAGUCUCCCGCACGAAAACAAGCCCUUGGCCUUGUCCAGCUAUCAGACCAACAAAGCCAGAGGGUCCCCGCCAUCGGAGCCAUCAGUCCUGCGCUUGGUUGGCCCUGUGUCUGCGUUUUGUAAAUAAAGGGCACGACGUUACCGUUCUCGGGAGAGGGCGGACUGGUGAGGUGUCCGUGGGUCAAGUUGGUCUCGGGUUCCCAAACCUCUUUGUGUCCGUGGCAUGUGGCCCCUUGUGCCGGGUCUGCGGCUGAAGGAUAGGGCUGUGGGAUCUCCAGGGAGGCGCGAGCACGCUAGGGUUGCAUGGUGAGCAAACAGCUUCGAAGCUUUGAGGGACACCCCAAUACGAGCCAUGUGUGACGUAGGUGACCUAGUCUCUGUCCUCGAACUAGAAGAAUAAGAAGCUUUCCUAACAGGCUCUUAGUCUUGGCAGUCAAGCAGUUUUGCCCUGAAAUGAAGAUUUAGCAUGUUCUGCAGCUCAGCACGGGGACUAAUCCAGGGCUGCUUUGGGGGACAUGCUGGGCUGGAGCUCUUCCAUUUGCACACCUCCCCCCACCCCGGCCCCUCAGUGCAGGGACCACUGUGGGGCUCCUGUCCGUGUAUCCCUACAACAGGACUCUUCCCCAGUUCUGCAACUCAUCCACCAGGUAGGCCUUCGUGCCAGGCGGUGACGUCCACCCCACCGUGAUCCCUCAUAUGCCUGGAACGGCCCCUUACUAAGCCCUGCUCCAUUCACCCGGGGAGUGCCAUCUGCUUCUCCAGGACUGAGAAGACUGGGAAAGGGACCUGGCCCACCACCGAGCAUCACCCCAGUGCUCAAGCUCCCCCGGCAGGAAAGAGCUCCCCUGGGCCAGCAGGUGGGCACCUUUCCUGGCUGCCUGGGGACUGUCACUUUUCCCAAAGCCUGAUCCUGCAUCCCUCCAGGCCAGACGAGUCAGCUCACUGUGCCGUGCCCUGGUUCUGCCCUUCCAGGGGGCCCCUGGAUUCCUCACCAGCUCAGAGGAGCACACCCCCUCACCCCAGCUCUAACUGCUCCCGGAACACAGUCCCUGUGGAAGGCACGGUCGGCUGACUCAGAUGAGAUCAGAUGCACGUCGUCCGAGAGGAGCAAGGGACUGAUGUCACUCGUGCCCUGGACACAGUCGUUGGCGUGGGUAAUCUGUCACCACCAGGUGGGGUGCUUGGGAGACUCACGGAGCUGCUUGGAAACGGCAUUAAUGCAUUUUCUGUCCUUGCAAAGGCAGGCACGUGGCU